rnacentral:rRNA from 1 species
AUGGAUGCAAACAAACCUCAGCGGCCGCAGCAGGAGGAGGACCAGAAGCCCAUGAGCGAGGACAAGACGACGACGAAGUCCCGGGACGGCGGUGGCGAGGCCGAGCCGUCAUCGGAGUCCGGGGAGGGCGACGCCGCCGACCACAACCACCGGGGAUGGAAGGCCAUGCCGUACGUCAUAGGGAAUGAGACAUUCGAGAAGCUUGGUACGAUUGGGACGUUGUCGAACUUGUUGGUGUACCUUACGACGGUAUACCACAUGCCCAGCGUCAAAGCCGCCACCCUCCUCAAUGUCUUCUCCGGCACCAGCAACCUCGCCACUGUCUUUGGUGCCUACAUCAGCGACACCUACCUCGGCCGCUACACCACCAUCACUGUAGGCACCGUCUCCUCCUUCAUCGGCAUGCUCAUCCUCACCCUCACAGCUGCCCUCCACUCCCUCCACCCUCGGACGUGCAGCUCAUCCAAAGGGAAACAAUGUCAAGGCCCAACUGACUCCCAGCUUGCCGCGCUCUUGGUGUCCUUCUUCUUCCUUGUCGUCGGCGCGGGCGGCAUUCGGCCCUGCAACUUGGCCUUCGGGGCCGAUCAGUUCGACCCGCGGACCGCCGACGGCCGUCGUGGCAUUGCUAGCUUCUUCAACUGGUACUACUUCACCUUCACCAUCGCCAUUAUGAUCUCCGCCACCGUCAUCAUCUACCUCCAGAGCAACGUCAAUUGGGCGCUGGGCCUCGCCGUGCCCGCCGCGCUAAUGGGCCUCUCAUGCGCCGUAUUUAUCAUGGGAACGCGCCUCUACGUUCGUGUUCGGCCCGAGGGCAGCCCAUUCACUAGCUUCGCCCAGGUUCUCGUUGCUGCCACCCGCAAGCGCCAGCUCCUGCAAGCUCGUGGCGCCGAGGCCGAGUUGUUCGACCCGCCACACAGGAGCAAGCUCGUCUCCAAGUUGGCGUACACCGACCAGUUCACAUGCCUGGACAAGGCGGCCAUGCGAACCCCCGAGGACUUGCUAUGCGCUGACGGGAAGACGCCGGUGCACCCGUGGCGGUUGUGCACGGUGCAACAAGUGGAGGAGGUGAAGUGCCUGGCGCGCAUCAUCCCGGUGUGGUCGGCAGGGAUCGUCUACUCCGUGGUGCUCACCCAGUUGGGCACCUACGUCGUGCUCCAGGCGGCGCAGACCGACCGUCGGAUCAGUAACUCCAGCAGCUUCGAGAUCCCACAGGGCUCAUUCAUUAUCUUCCAGAUGCUAGCCCUCACACUCUGGAUCCCCAUGUACGACAGGUUCGUGGUGCCGGCACUCCGGCGCUUCACCGGGCGCGAGGGUGGCAUCACCCUGCUCCAGCGAAUCGGCGUCGGGCUGGCGCUCUCAGUGGUCACGAUGCUAGUGUCAGCGGCGGUGGAGCGCCGACGACGGAGGAUCGGCUCAUUGAUGCCGUGGUUUUGGCUGGUGCCACAACAGUUGCUGGCGGGGCUAUCGGAGGCGUUCGGUGCCAUCGGACAGAUCGAGUUCUACUACCGGCAGUUCCCGGAGAACAUGCGGAGCGUGGCGGGGGCGGUCAGCUUCCUGGGGAUCGCGGUGGCUAGCUACGCGAGUGGUCUGAUGGUGACGGUGGUGCACAGGGCAACGCGACGGCGGGACGGGCGGCCGGACUGGCUGGCUCAAGACUUAAACGAGGGCAGGGUGGACCUGUUCUACCUUGUCACGGCUGCCAUCGCCGCCGUAAACCUCGUCUACUUUGUGGCAUGCGCGAGGUGGUACAAAUUCAAGAAGUCCAGUGAUGACGCCCACGCCAGCGAUGACCUCGAGCUCGAUGAAAGCCCCAAGAAGGCUGCGAAUAAUAUGACGCCGGUUUAG